rnacentral:rRNA from 1 species
CCUACGGGUGGCAGCAGUGGGGAAUAUUGGACAAUGGGCGAAAGCCUGAUCCAGCCAUGCCGCGUGUGUGAAGAAGGCCUUCGGGUUGUAAAGCACUUUCAGUGGGGAAGAAAGCCUUGGGGCUAAUACCCUCGAGGAAGGACAUCACCCACAGAAGAAGCACCGGCUAACUCCGUGCCAGCAGCCGCGGUAAUGCGGAGGGUGCGAGCGUUAAUCGGAAUUACUGGGCGUAAAGCGCGCGUAGGCGGUCUGAUAAGCCGGUUGUGAAAGCCCCGGGCUCAACCUGGGAACGGCAUCCGGAACUGUCAGGCUAGAGUGCAGGAGAGGAAGGUAGAAUUCCCGGUGUAGCGGUGAAAUGCGUAGAGAUCGGGAGGAAUACCAGUGGCGAAGGCGGCCUUCUGGACUGACACUGACGCUGAGGUGCGAAAGCGUGGGUAGCAAACAGGAUUAGAUACCCCAGUAGUC